UGGGGAAUCUUGCACAAUGGGGGAAACCCUGAUGCAGCGACGCCGCGUGAGCGAAGAAGCCUUUCGGGGUGUAAAGCUCUUACGCCAGGGACGAUAAUGACGGUACCUGGAGAAGCAGCUGCGGCUAACUACGUGCCAGCAGCCGCGGUAAUACGUAGGCAGCAAGCGUUGUUCGGAAUUACUGGGCGUAAAGGGUGCGUAGGCGGCGCUUUAAGUUUGGUGUGAAAUCUCCCGGCUCAACCGGAAGGGUGCACUGAAAACUGGGGCGCUCGAGUAUGGGAGAGGAAAGCGGAAUUCCUGGUGUAGCGGUGAAAUGCGUAGAUAUCAGGAGGAACACCGGCGGUGUAGACGGCUUGCUAGACCAUAACUGACGCUGAGGCACGAAAGCGUGGGUAGCAAACA
rnacentral:rRNA from 1 species